UGCAGUUUGAAUCUCUUGGCUUCAUAAGCUGAUAUUGCACUUUUGUUAUCGGGUAGAUCGCAACAAACUUUCAGAAGAGAGCUGAGAGAAUUCAUCUUCAUGUAUGGACAAGAUGCACAACCACCGUGAAGAGAACAUCCCUCCCCACUGGAAACUCCAGGUACUACAGGUAAAUUGAUCUCACCAAGUACAACCGAUUUUUGGCCUUGGGAUGAACUUGAUGAUGUCCUUG
rnacentral:misc_RNA from 1 species